UAACUUCUCAGAUCGCAUGGCCUUGCGCCGGCGACGGUUCAUUCAAAUUUCUGCCCUAUCAACUUUCGAUGGUAAGGUAGUGGCUUACCAUGGUUUCAACGGGUAACGGGGAAUUAGGGUUCGAUUCCGGAGAGGGAGCCGGAGGAACGGCUACCACAUCCAAGGAAGGCAGCAGGCGCGCAAAUUACCCAAUUCCGAUACGGAGAGGUAGUGACAAUAAAUACUGAUACAGGGCUCUUUUGGGUCUUGUAAUUGGAAUGAGUACAAUUUAAACCUCUUAACGAGGAACAAUUGGAGGGCAAGUCUGGUGCCAGCAGCCGCGGUAAUUCCAGCUCCAAUAGCGUAUAUUAAAGUUGUUGCAGUUAAAAAGCUCGUAGUUGAACCUUUGGCCUGGCUGGCAGGUCCGCCUCACCGCGUGCACUUGUCCGGCCGGGCCUUUUCUUCUGGGCAACCGCAUGCCCUUCACUGGGUGUGUUGGGGACCAGGACUUUUACUUUGAAAAAAUUAGAGUGUUCAAAGCAGGCCUUUGCUCGAAUACGUUAGCAUGGAAUAAUAGAAUAGGACGUGCGGUCCUAUUUUGUUGGUUUCUAGGACCGCCGUAAUGAUUAAUAGGGACAGUCGGGGGCAUCAGUAUUCAAUUGUCAGAGGUGAAAUUCUUGGAUUUAUUGAAGACUAACUACUGCGAAAGCAUUUGCCAAGGAUGUUUUCAUUAAUCAGUGAACGAAAGUUAGGGGAUCGAAGACGAUCAGAUACCGUCGUAGUCUUAACCAUAAACUAUGCCGACUAGGGAUCGGGCGGUGUUUCUAUUGUGACCCGCUCGGCACCUUACGAGAAAUCAAA
rnacentral:rRNA from 1 species